rnacentral:rRNA from 1 species
UAAGGAAUAUUGGUCAAUGGAGGAAACUCUGAACCAGCCAUCCCGCGUGAAGGAUGAAGGGGCUCUGCCUUGUAAACUUCUUUUGUCUGGGGCGAAAAAGCUCGAUUUAUCGAGAACUGACGGUACCAGAAGAAUAAGCACCGGCUAACUCCGUGCCAGCAGCCGCGGUAAUACGGAGGGUGCAAGCGUUAUCCGGAAUCACUGGGUUUAAAGGGUGCGUAGGCGGCUUAGUAAGUCAGUGGUGAAAGACUGUGGCUUAACCAUGGAAUUGCCAUUGAUACUGCUGAGCUUGAAUCAGGUUGAGGUUGGCGGAAUGUGACAUGUAGCGGUGAAAUGCUUAGAUAUGUCAUGGAACACCGAUUGCGAAGGCAGCUGACUGGACCUGUAUUGACGCUGAGGCACGAAAGCGUGGGGAGCGAACAG